rnacentral:rRNA from 1 species
UACGUAGGGUGCAAGCGUUGUCCGGAAUUAUUGGGCGUAAAGAGCUCGUAGGCGGUUUGUCGCGUCUGCUGUGAAAACCCAGGGCUUAACCCUGGGCCUGCAGUGGGUACGGGCAAACUAGAGUGCGGUAGGGGAGAUCGGAAUUCCUGGUGUAGCGGUGAAAUGCGCAGAUAUCAGGAGGAACACCGGUGGCGAAGGCGGAUCUCUGGGUCGUAACUGACGCUGAGGUGCGAAAGCGUGGGGAGCAAACAGG